GCGCAUGUGGCGUAAUUGGUAGCCGCGUUAGACUUAGGAUCUAAUGUCUCAGGACGUGGGGGUUCGAGUCCCUUCAUGCGCACCA
rnacentral:tRNA from 6 species